CUCCCUUGACGGUACUUAAUGAAUAAGCCCCGGCUAAUUAUGUGCCAGCAGCCGCGGUAAUACAUAAGGGGCGAGCGUUAUCCGGAAUUAUUGGGCGUAAAGGGUGCGUAGGCGGUUUAAUAAGUCUAUAGUUUAAUUUCAGUGCUUAACGCUGUUGUGCUAUAGAAACUGUUUUACUAGAGUGAGUUAGAGGCAAGCGGAAUUCCAUGUGUAGCGGUAAAAUGCGUAAAUAUAUGGAGGAACACCAGAGGCGUAGGCGGCUUGCUGGGACUUUACUGACGCUGAGGCACGAAAGCGUGGGGAGCAAACAGGAUUAGAUACCCUGGUAGUCCACACCGUAAACGAUGAGUACUAAGUGUCGGGUAAAACCGGUACUGAAGUUAACACAUUAAGUACUCCGCCUGAGUAGUACGUACGCAAGUAUGAAACUUAAAGGAAUUGACGGGACUCCGCACAAGCGGUGGAUCAUGUUGUUUAAUUCGAAGAUACACGAAAAACCUUACCAGGUCUUGACAUUUUCUUGCGAAGUUAUAGAAAUAUAAUGGAGGUUAUCAGGAAAACAGGUGGUGCAUGGUUGUCGUCAGCUCGUGUCGUGAGAUGUUAGGUUAAGUCCUAAAACGAGCGCAACCCUUGUCGUUAAUUGCCAGCAUGUAAUGAUGGGGACUUUAACGAGACUGCCAAUGAAAAAUUGGAGGAAGGUGGGGAUUACGUCAAAUCAUCAUGCCCCUUAUGAUCUGGGCUACAAACGUGAUACAAUGGUUGAUACAAAGAGUAGCUGAAACGCGAGUUCUUAGCCAAUCUCACAAAAUC
rnacentral:rRNA from 1 species